UACGAAGGGGGCUAGCGUUGCUCGGAAUCACUGGGCGUAAAGCGCACGUAGGCGGCUUCUUAAGUCAGGGGUGAAAUCCUGGAGCUCAACUCCAGAACUGCCUUUGAUACUGAGAAGCUUGAGUCCGGGAGAGGUGAGUGGAACUGCGAGUGUAGAGGUGAAAUUCGUGGAUAUUCGCAAGAACACCAGUGGCGAAGGCGGCUCACUGGCCCGGUACUGACGCUGAGGUGCGAAAGCGUGGGGAGCAAACAGG
rnacentral:rRNA from 1 species